GGCAGUGUAGCGUAGUGGUAAGGAUCAGGGCUCAAAACUGAAGGUUGCUGGUUCGAUUCCCAGCCGGGGUACUGCCG